rnacentral:rRNA from 1 species
CACGUAGGGGGCAAGCGUUGUCCGGAUUUAUUGGGCGUAAAGAGCUCGUAGGUGGUUCGGUAAGUCGGGUGUGAAACCUCCAGGCUCAACCUGGAGACGCCACCCGAUACUGCUGUGACUGGAGUCCGGUAGGGGAGCGUGGAAUUCCUGGUGUAGCGGUGAAAUGCGCAGAUAUCAGGAGGAACACCAGCGGCGAAGGCGGCGCUCUGGGCCGGUACUGACGCUGAGACGCGAAAGCGUGGGGAGCGAACAGG